UCGCUUGGGUCAUUGAAGGCUGGAACAUAGAAUAAGUCAUACGGGAACCACUGCAUGGACAUCGUCAGGGACGUGGAGGACAUAGAGACAACUACACCAUGUGCUGGAUCCAUCGCGCGUGUUACUAGAGGCAUCAAAAUACGUGUAAGCUGGAGCACACAGGUGUUACUGCUUGUAUUAGGUGGCUGUUACUCUUGGUAUUGGAUGGCUAUUACUGUUGGUAUUAGGUGACUAUUACUGUUGGUAUUAGAUGGCUAUUACUCUAUUGCCGUUGGUAUUAGGUGACUAUUACUGUUGGUAUCAGGUGGCUAUUACUGAGGGUAUUAGGUGGCUAUUCCUGUUGGUAUUAGGUGGCUAUUGCUGUUGGUAUUAGGUGGCUAUUACUGUUGGUAUUAGAUGACUAUUACUGUUGGUAUUAGAUGGCUAUUACUGUUGGUAUUAGAUGGCUAUUACUGUUUGUAUUAGGUGGCUAUUGCCAUUGGUAUUAGUUGGCUAUUAUUGUUGGUAUUAGGCGGCUAGUACUGUUAGUAUUAGGUGGCUAUUAUUCUUGGUAUUUGGUGGCUAUUACUGUUGGUAUUAGGUGGUUAUUAGGUUGUUUUUAAAUCGAUCUAUUGAGUAGGAUCCUUUGUAGAUGACAGAAACUCGCGUCUGCAUGUUUAGCGGUAUGCGGUUGAAUAGUUUGGUUUGGUCAGGGGUGGUCCAAUUCGUUUGGUAGUUGGCACAUUGUUCCUGUGAUGCAUGCAUUUUAUUACUGUAUCUUGGAAAACAAGUGAGUAUUGUGAAAAGCGUUGUUUCAGACAAAAGGGUAUUCAAAUAAGUUCG